rnacentral:rRNA from 1 species
UGAGUCCGAGGAGCUACGGCUCUUAAGUGAUACGAGUCAGACUUCCCAGAAAAGCCCGAACCACGUUAAUCUCUAAUUACCUGUACCCGAAACCGACACAGGUGGGUAGGUAGAGUAUACUAAGGGGCGCGAGAUAACUCUCUCUAAGGAACUCGGCAAAAUGACUCCGUAACUUCGGGAGAAGGAGUGCCUUAUUUAUAAGGUUGCAAUAACAAGAUCCAAGCAACUGUUUAUCAAAAACACAGGUCUCCGCUAAGUCGUAAGACGAUGUAUGGGGGCUGACGCCUGCCCAGUGCCAGAAGGUUAAAGAAGUUGGUUAGUGUAUGCGAAGCUGAUGACUGAAGCCCUGGUGAACGGCGGCCGUAACUAUAACGGUCCUAAGGUAGCGAAAUUCCUUGUCGGGUAAGUUCCGACCCGCACGAAAGGCGUAAUGAUUUGGAUACUGUCUCGGAGAGAGGCUCGGUGAAAUAGACUUGUCUGUGAAGAUGCGGACUACCUGCACCAGGACAGAAAGACCCUAUGAAGCUUUACUGUAACUUGAAAUUGGAAUUGGACUUUGCUUGCGCAGUAUAGGUGGGAAGCGUUGAAGAUAUUCUUGCGGGAGUAUUGGAGCUAUCAGUGAGAUACCACUCUUGUAAUGUUAGAUUUCUAACUUUGAACCAUAAUCUGGUCAAAGAACAGUUUCAGGUGGGCAGUUUGACUGGGGCGGUCGCCUCCCAAAUGGUAACGGAGGCGUACAAAGGUUUCCUCUGAACGGAUAGAAAUCGUAUCUAGAGUGUAAAGGCAUAAGGAAGCUUGACUGUGAGACCUACAAGUCGAGCAGGGACGAAAGUCGGUCUUAGUGAUCUGACGGUACUGAGUGGAAAGGCCGUCACUCAACGGAUAAAAGUUACUCUAGGAUAACAGGCUGAUCUCCCCCAAGAGUUCACAUCGACGGGGAGGUUUGGCACCUCGAUGUCGGCUCAUCGCAUCCUGGGGCGGUAGUACGUCCCAAGGGUUGGGCUGUUCGCCCAUGAAAGCGGUACGCGAGCUGGGUUCAGAACGUCGUGAGACAGUUCGGUCCAUAUCCGGUGUAGGCGUUAGAAUAUUGAGAGGAGCCUUCUUUAGUACGAGAGGACCGAGAAGGACACACCGCUGGUGUACCAGUUAUCGUGCCAACGGUAAACGCUGGGUAGCUAUGUGUGGAGUGGAUAACCGCUGAAAGCAUCUAAGUGGGAAGCCCACCUCAAGAUGAGUAUUCUCAUC